rfam:Myotis davidii contig193499, whole genome shotgun sequence.
GAGACACCCUUAUGGGGCAGGACUUGCUUUAGUGGGGCUUUGAUGCUCACUGAGUCUGCCUGUUGAGUGUGUCACU